UAUCGCUUACAGAUGGGCCCGCGGUGCAUUAGCUAGUUGGUAGGGUAAUGGCCUACCAAGGCAACGAUGCAUAGCCGACCUGAGAGGGUGAUCGGCCACACUGGGACUGAGACACGGCCCAGACUCCUACGGGAGGCAGCAGUAGGGAAUCUUCCGCAAUGGACGAAAGUCUGACGGAGCAACGCCGCGUGUAUGAAGAAGGUUUUCGGAUCGUAAAGUACUGUUGUUAGAGAAGAACAAGGAUAAGAGUAACUGCUUGUCCCUUGACGGUAUCUAACCAGAAAGCCACGGCUAACUACGUGCCAGCAGCCGCGGUAAUACGUAGGUGGCAAGCGUUGUCCGGAUUUAUUGGGCGUAAAGCGCGCGCAGGCGGUCUUUUAAGUCUGAUGUGAAA
rnacentral:rRNA from 1 species